GCCGGGCGCGGUGGCUCACGUCUGUUAUCCCAGCACUGGGAGGCCGAGGUGGGUGGAUCACCUGAGGUCAGGAGUUCCAGACUGGCCUGACCAACAUGGAGAAACCCCGCCUCUA
ensembl:misc_RNA Metazoa_SRP Metazoan signal recognition particle RNA